GGGNGCUCUCCCNUAUGGUCGACCUGCAGGCGGCCGCGAAUUCACUAGUGAUUAGAGUUUGAUCCUGGCUCAGGAUGAACGCUGGCGGCGUGCCUAACACAUGCAAGUCGAACGAAGCAAUUAAAGGAAGUUUUCGGAUGGAAUUUGAUUGACUGAGUGGCGGACGGGUGAGUAACGCGUGGAUAACCUGCCUCACACUGGGGGAUAACAGUUAGAAAUGACUGCUAAUACCGCAUAAGCGCACAGUGCCGCAUGGUACGGUGUGAAAAACUCCGGUGGUGUGAGAUGGAUCCGCGUCUGAUUAGCCAGUUGGCGGGGUAACGGCCCACCAAAGCGACGAUCAGUAGCCGACCUGAGAGGGUGACCGGCCACAUUGGGACUGAGACACGGCCCAAACUCCUACGGGAGGCAGCAGUGGGGAAUAUUGCACAAUGGGCGAAAGCCUGAUGCAGCGACGCCGCGUGAGUGAAGAAGUAUUUCGGUAUGUAAAGCUCUAUCAGCAGGGAAGAAAAUGACGGUACCUGACUAAGAAGCCCCGGCUAACUACGUGCCAGCAGCCGCGGUAAUACGUAGGGGGCAAGCGUUAUCCGGAUUUACUGGGUGUAAAGGGAGCGUAGACGGCGAAGCAAGUCUGAAGUGAAAACCCAGGGCUCAACCCUGGGACUGCUUUGGAAACUGUUUUGCUAGAGUGUCGGAGAGGUAAGUGGAAUUCCUANUGUAGCGGUGAAAUGCGUAGAUAUUANGAGGAACACCAGUGGCGAAGGCGGCUUACUGGACGAUAACUGACGUUGAGGCUCGAAAGCGUGGGGAGCAAACAGGAUUAGAUACCCUGGUAGUCCACGCCGUAAANNNAUGAANGCUANGGUGUUGGGGGGGCAAAGCCNNU
rnacentral:rRNA from 1 species